AUGUUAUAUUUGCCCCCGAUUGUAUAAAAUACAACAUAUAUAAACAAAUACAAAAUUGUGUACAAUUUGUAAGAUUGAUAUUUUAAAACAGUCGAGAAUAAAAUUCAACAAACACUUCUAAUUCGUAGAUGUAUUGACGAAUAUGGAUGGCAAAUAAAAAUAAAGAGAUGGACAAAUAAAAAUAAAGAGAGGAAUUAAAUAGUAGAUGAUUGGGUUGUGUUUAUUCGAAAAGUAGAAUAAAAUUUCCUAAAGGGAAUUUGUG
rnacentral:lncRNA from 1 species